UCCAAGCUCCUUAGACUAUUAGAGUUUAACAUGACUAAGAAACUUGUGUGGCUUAUUGCAAAUGGAUGAAACCACAUAUUACCUUUAAUGAAUAUGGUUAUCUUUAAUAAGGUGUAGAAAAAAGAAAACAGAGGACAGUUGUUGUUUGUAUUCCAGCUGUAGUAAACACAGAAGUUAACUGAAUCUUUUUGACUACCGAAAGUAAUGCAGUAUUGACUGACGCUGAUUUGAGUUGUCUCUUUCUGUAUUUUUGUGCUUUAUCUUUUGUUACACAGAUUGAAACAGAUCUUUGGUUUUGCCUUUGCUGACUGCUGAUCUGAUCGUCUCAAGUCUGAGUGAACAGAUCUUUGGUUUUGCCUUUUCUGACUGCUGAUCUGAUCGUCUCAAGUCUGGUGACCUGCUGCAGAAGCUCUCUCCCUCUAUCAUUAACAAGCCAUUCAGUCUGUCCUAUCACUCUACCCACUCUAUCUAUUUUGACAAGACGUUCUAUCUUGCUUCACUCUAUCCCACAAGCUCUAUCUAAGUUAUCAAAAAUCACGUUUUUAACUGGAAUCAAAUUUUGACUGGAAUCAAGUUUUGACUGGAAUAAUCAAGUUUUGACAUGGCCCCAAUUUUUGGGAAAUUGAAGUUACCAGUACUUCAUCUAUCUGUUACAGAAUUCUGAGAGAUCUCUGCUCUCACUGCUCCUUCUUUCCUUUCGUUAAACUCUCUCACAUCCAGUCUUUUUCCUGGAAAUUACAAGUAGAAAGUUGAAAUUACAAUAGUAGAAUUACAGUACAGUAGAAACUAUUUACACAGCUGUAGACUUGUAAUUUUAAUUUUUACUUGGAAUACUUUGGAAUAAACACUGAUAGUUUGGCUUAGAGGUGCAAUUACUUUGAUACAUUAUAUAAAAUUUACACCUUCUUUAAGGUUUUUUGUAAUAAGAUAAACUUGUUAUUUUAUACGACACAUUCAGACUGUUGUAUUCACAAAAAUAUUAAAUUGCAUAACUUCAGAUACAUUUUGCUAGUCCGUUUCAUUGUCAGUAACAUUUGACUAUAGUAGGGUUAUACUAUUCUUAUUUAGGGACAAACCCAUUUCUGUUACUCAGUGUAAGUGUUCAGACACAAUUGUCAUCGAGAAGCUGCCCUGAGGACCCAGACUUCCUGUUUCCUGACUGCUGUAGAACAUCCAGCUGAAGAAUCCUCAUUGCCUGUCAUCUGAUCACCACAUCACCACAGCUGUUUAUAUUUGCUUUACAUUUUAGAUAUCUGAAAGAUUUACACAAAGUCUGCUUAAAAACUAAGAGUUUUAUUAUAGCCUGUUGAUUAUUGUGAUUUAUUCUAUACAUCCCUUUACAGAAGCUAAGAUCUAGUCAUUAACAAGUGUGGUUAAAGUAUCAGAAGUAAAAAUAUUGUGUUUUGGAAAAAGCUACAAUAAAACUGAGCAAAGUGUUUUCAAAGAACUGAAUAUCUUUUAUAUUGAGUUUGGAUUAAAGUCAACCUUUUACAUCUAUUUACAUAUUUAUAAAAACAUUGG
rnacentral:lncRNA from 1 species